CUAACAUUGCUGUAAAUACAAGUUAAAAAGCUGACAUGGGUUACGUUAAAGCUUGAAAUCCCAAUCCCCCGGCAUCAAAUAAUUAAAAAAAAAAAGAAUAUAUAUGACCUUUAACAUUGGAAGGCUAAACUUGCAUUGAGCCGUGGUUAGGUCCUAAAUAGAAAAUAAAGAGAUGUGGAGUAAAUGUACACGGGACAAAAUCGCACACAAUACAUAGAAAAAAUACAAAUUAUUAAUGAACAGGGCUUUUAUUCCUGUUCUUCAUCUUGAAAGUAGCUGGAGGGUCUUCAACGAGG
rnacentral:lncRNA from 1 species